CCAGAACUCAACGUGGCACCUCCAGCACCCAAGGCAGCGCCCCCAGCACCCAAAGCAGCCCCCCAGAACUCAAUGCAGUGUAUCUGGAACUCAACGUGACACCUCCAGCACCCAAAGCAGAACCCCAAAACCCAAUGUAGGGUAUCUAGAACUCAAUGUAAGGCAUCCAGAACUCAAAGUGGCACCUCCAGCACCCAAAGUAGACCCUCAGAACCCAAUGUAGGGUACCCAGAACUCAACAUGGCACCUCCAGCACCCAAGGCAGACCCCCAGAACCCAAUGUAGGGCAUCCAGAACCCAAUGUAGGGUACCCAGAACUCAACGUGGCACCUCCAGCACCCAAAGCAGACCCCCAAAACCCAAUGUAGGGUAUCUAGAACUCAAUGUAAGGCAUCCAGAACUCAAAGUGGCACCUCCAGCACCCAAAGUAGACCCUCAGAACC